GCGGGGAUAGCUCAGUUGGGAGAGCGUCAGACUGAAGUCUAACUUCAGGAAUACAUGUGUGUUGAAAUCUGAAGGUCGUGCGUUCAAUCCGCACUCACCGCA